rnacentral:lncRNA from 1 species
GCCGGGAACACCCUCCCCGGCCCCCCGCGCGCGCCGCCGCCCCCCAGCUUCCCCCGGAAAGUGAGGGGGUGCCGGUGUCAGCGGCGCCGGGCAUCCCCCGGCCUCCCCACCCACACCCACACCCGAGCCUCUGGUGACCCGGCACCCGCCCACGCCCCCGGCGCGGUGACAACCCAGACGCCCCCGCCUCCCCCCCCCCCGCCCGAAGGAGGCCCGGGGCCGGGGGCCCGGAGAGAGCGGAGGCCAGGCGGGGAGGGGGCGAGCGGGGGGAGGGGGGGCGGUGGCUGUUACCUGCAAAGGCGGCGGCGGCGGCCCCGCAGCUGCUCGGGCGGCGGCGGAGGAUGGAGCCGGGGGGGCGGGGGGAGGAGAGGGGGCGACUCGGGGGUCCCCCCUCCCUCCUCCUCCCCUCCUGUCCUCCCCCCACCCCGCAGAGCCUCUGGCCCCCCUGGAGCCCGGUGCGGCCGGCGGGAGGGCAGGCGAAGGCUGCAGGGGAGGGAGGAGGGAGCCGGCCGGGCCGGGCCGCGGAGCUGGAGCGGGAGGCGGCGGCGGCGGCGGCGGCGGCGGCGGGAGGGGAGGGCGGAGGGAGGGCGGCGGCGGGGGGGAGGAGGAGGCGGAGACUCUACAUGGGAAUCGGAUAUCGGCUACAAAUUCAAUUCAUCACCAGAAAACACCGCUCGGGCGGGGGCCGGGUCACGCCGGCUAGGCGGCGGCGGGCGGAGGCUCCGGGCCCUGGGGCGCGCCCGGCGCGGGUCGGGGGUCUGCGGCCUCCUCUCGGGGGCCGCGCCUCGCCCGGGGACCCCGCCGCCUCCCCGCCCCCUCCUUCCUCCCUCCCCGGCCGCCGCCGCCGCCGAUCGCUUCUCGCCGCCGCCGCCGCCGCCGCCGCCGCCGCCGCGGGGCUUGUUGUUGACUUUGAGGAAAACUCCUGACGUCAGGGGCUGGCUCUCGGCGACUGGCGGGAGCGGCUUCCCCGCGUCCCCGGCCCUGCCCGCCGCCUCUGCUCCCCUCCCUGCCGCGCCCUCGUCCGCAGGCUUCCCCGCGCCCCCCAAAGCCGCGGCGCCCCGCGCCCCCUCUCCUCUCGCGAGAACAUCCCCCCAGCCCGGCGGAGCCGGCAGCGGGGGCCGGCGCUCCUGGGCGGGAAGUUUUGGCUCUCCCCGCGCCCUCGUGGCCCGCGGCGGCCCCCGAGGCCCGCUGCCCGCUGCCCCCCGCCGCCGCCGCUGCCGCCCCGGGGAGGUGGGCGGUGCCCGGUGCGGAGGGGAGCCCGGGUGCCGGGAGCGGGCGGCGAGCGGACCCCACCCUCGGCGCCCCGGUGCUCGGUCCCGAGCGCCCGGCCCUCCCCGACCCUCCCGGGAGACCUGGCCGCCCGGCCCGAGAACACCUCUCGGGAGAGCCGGCCCCGCGCUCCGGGCCGCAGUCGUGACCGCACCGGGAGGACAGCUGGCCCUGGCAUCGGAAUUCACUCUUAAAAUGACACCCUUUUUAGGGAUACUAGUUUUCGUUGACUUUGGGGAAGCCAUGAUGUACUGCAUUCACUACGAAGAAGAUACCAUUUCUUUCCUUUGA